rnacentral:rRNA from 1 species
AUUGAACGCUGGCGGCAGGCUUAACACAUGCAAGUCGAGCGGAGUGAUGGUGCUUGCACUAUCACUUAGCGGCGGACGGGUGAGUAAUGCUUAGGAAUCUGCCUAUUAGUGGGGGACAACAUCUCGAAAGGGAUGCUAAUACCGCAUACGUCCUACGGGAGAAAGCAGGGGAUCACUUGUGACCUUGCGCUAAUAGAUGAGCCUAAGUCGGGUUAGCUAGUUGGUGGGGUAAAGGCCUACCAGGGCGACGAUCUGUAGCGGGUCUGAGAGGAUGAUCCGCCACACUGGGACGGAGACACGGCCCAGACUCCUACGGGAGGCAGCAGUGGGGAAUAUUGGACAAUGGGGGGAACCCUGAUCCAGCCAUGCCGCGUGUGUGAAGAAGGCCUUAUGGUUGUAAAGCACUUUAAGCGAGGAGGAGGCUCUUUUGGUUAAUACCCAAGAUGAGUGGACGUUACUCGCAGAAUAAGCACCGGCUAACUCUGUGCCAGCCGCCGCAGUAA